rnacentral:lncRNA from 13 species
AUCCUGUUACUUGGCAAAUCUUUAUGCUUCCUUUUCUUAAGGACUUUGAAAAAUCUGUUCAGCAAUAUGAAACGAAUUCCCCUGUUGUCCGUGCUUCCGUAAAAUCUAUUGCAAAAGGGCAACGGCUGAUUCCUAACGACUGGGAAACGCUUCCGGAGUCAGGAUUCUCUCACUCCCAAAAUUUACAGUUUAAAUGGCAAAUGCUUCCUGACUUCUGAGCAGUUAACAGAGUCAUUCAGCCCAUGGAAACUUUACAACCAGGCCUCCCUCCCCACUUGAUGAUAUGAAAAUCCUGGCCUUUACUUACUAUUGACUUAAAGGAUUGCUUUUCGACAUUCCUCUGGCGUCGCAGGACUGUCAUAAAUUUGCCUUCACAGUCACAACCAGAUGAGGUGUUUGCGGAGAGCAAAUAGGCUCACCUACCUCCCAGCACGGGGCCCGAGGCACGUGUUCAGCACCAUGGACAGCGCCCUAUUCAUCCUGGGUCUGCUGGCUGCUCAUUGUGUGAGGAUGGAGGCAAGUAAGAAGUUUCCCACCCUGGGAUACAGAGAGCUCUGGGAAAUGUUUAAAGAACGUGUCCUGGGGUGACAGAGUCAGAUCUGAAUAAAGUCUUAAUGAGCCCUCA